rnacentral:misc_RNA from 1 species
AGUCAUCUCAUGAUGGACGGUCUAGUCUGUUUGGUGCAAAGAUUACUGGCGGAGGAUCGGGUGGUUCUGUUUGUGUUAUGGGACGGAAUUGCGUCCAAAGCAGUGAAGAAAUUCUUGAGAUCCAGCAAAGGUACAAAGCUGCGACCGGUUAUCUGCCAAUAAUCUUUGAAGGUUCGUCGCCAGGUGCUGGGAAAUUUGGCUACCUUAAACUGCGAAGAAGGCAUAUGUCAAAUGUGGGUUCAGAGGAAGAAGCCUAGAAUGAGGUCUGGGUGGUUGAUGUGUAGAUAUUAUUUGGCGAGAUUCGAUCCGG